AGUAAAUAGAAAUUACGAAAGCAAAAAAUUAUGGCGGUAUUUUAAGCUUUUCAGAGGAAUUUGCUCUUUAAUGGAUAAAACACCUAAAUCUUACUUAAAUUUGUAAAUUCAAUUUGUAUACCACUAUAAAAACAAUUAAUAACUUCAAUUGUUAAAAUUUAUUAAAUUAAGUUAUAUUAAGUCAAGGUGCAGUAAAAAUUUAAGAAUGAAGUGAAUUACAUUUCUUUUUAGAGAGAGAAAUUUAAAUAACAUUUAGGAUUUGAAAGUAAAAUUGAAAUAGAAUGUCAAUUUGAAUUAAGCUCUAAAAUAUGUACAUA
rnacentral:rRNA from 1 species